rnacentral:tRNA from 1 species
AGCCAAGUGGAUUAAGGCAGU